rnacentral:rRNA from 1 species
AUUGAACGCUGGCGGCAGGCCUAACACAUGCAAGUCGGGCGAGCGGCGGACGGGUGAGUAACGCGUGGCAACCUGCCUAUGACAGUGGGAUAGCCUCGGGAAACCGGGAUUAAUACCGCAUAGUCAUAGAUGGGCUCGCGUCUGAUUAGCUAGUUGGUGAGAUAACAGCCCACCAAGGCGACGAUCAGUAGCCGGUCUGAGAGGGUGAUCGGCCACACUGGGACUGAGACACGGCCCAGACUCCUACGGGAGGCAGCAGUGGGGAAUAUUGCACAAUGGGCGCAAGCCUGAUGCAGCCAUGCCGCGUGUAUGAAGAAGGCCUUCGGGUUGUAAAGUACUUUCAGUCGGGAGGCGUUACCGACAGAAGAAGCACCGGCUAACUCCGUGCCAGCAGCCGCGGUAAUUC